UACGAAGGGGGCUAGCGUUGCUCGGGAUCACUGGGCGUAAAGGGUGCGUAGGCGGGUCUUUAAGUCAGGGGUGAAAUCCUGGAGCUCAACUCCAGAACUGCCUUUGAUACUGAAGAUCUUGAGUUCGGGAGAGGUGAGUGGAACUGCGAGUGUAGAGGUGAAAUUCGUAGAUAUUCGCAAGAACACCAGUGGCGAAGGCGGCUCACUGGCCCGAGUACUGACGCUGAGGCACGAAAGCGUGGGGAGC
rnacentral:rRNA from 1 species